CUAUCUGUCAAUAUCAACGGAACCUUUUUUUUUUUUAUUUGACUAGUGGCUGAAGAAAAACAAAUCGAGUAAAUCAAUAAAAAAAUGACUAAAGCGAAAAUGGCAUCGAGACGAAAACUGAACAAUUCAGAUCAUCCGCAAAGAAUGUUCGCGGUCGUUUUACUACCUAAACUUGUUUCCUGGACGAUUAACGGUCAGGAUACCGACAUGAAGGUUGUCGUUACGAACGACUUAUAGAAAAAUUGCUACAGCUGGCUUUGACACCGCUUCGAUUUAUCGGUCCGUAAGCUCUUGUCAAGAGUAACGAAUUCAACUCCGUCCUGUCGUGAUAUUCAUUUGAAAAUUCUUCGUUACCCUCAGAUGAUGUAUUCUAACUUGUAAGACAAUCAAGAUGGAUCGUAAACUAGCGAUGAACUCGUCAUUUAUUUGGUCGGAAAUAUGCUAGAAGAACACUAUCGACACGCUGAAAAAACAUUAAUCUGUAACAUUAUUCACGUCACUAUUUUCUGCCACACAUCGUAACCUCAUCUAUGCGGACGAUCAGGAGAUUGAUCUAUGAAAUGCAUGCUGUCUGGAGGCGAGGCAAACCGCUAAGCCGUUGGCCACGUAUUACAGGGUCAAUUCAUUACGAACACUUACUUAGGCGAUCAUCUAAAUAAAUAGAAUG